UCUCUUUUCCCCAAACUCCAUCUUCCCCAAAUUGCAGAGAACUGCUCCACCACCAUUCCCUGCCACUGCCGCCGUCACCUCCAUCACUGCCACCACCAUCUCUUCACCCGACAACACCACCAUCUCUCUAGGCUAGAUAUUUUGACCAUUUCACAUCCCGUGAAACCGUAGCUGUGGAGUUUGUAAAACACCUAGCUAGGGCAUCAGUAGGGAACAAUAGGAGCAGAGGAAGAGCAUCAGAGACGCAGAAGAGAGAUGGGUUCGACAGAGGACACAACAAAAGCAGAGACGGGGAAAAAUCCUGCAUCGUUAAAGUUUACAGAUAGAUAAAACGGUUGUGCUGAUGGAUCCAAUAGAUUGCCUACUGCUCCAAUAGAUUGCUUAUUGCAGAGCUAUUGCUGGAUCCUUUUCUCUGAAAUGAGGAGAAUGAAAGUAUAGGUCAUAUAAGAAAUCCAAAUCCCAGUCAUUUAGGCUCAAAUAGAGGAUGCAGACUUGGAUAGGUUGAUUGCUUUAACAAGUUUAGGAGGCAUUAUGGGUUGAUUAAUCGCAUUUUGCAUGAAGAUAUUACUCUCAAUUGGGAAAAAUCCUGCAUCCUUAAAGUUUACAGAUAGAUAAAACGAUUGUGUUGAUGGAUCCAAUAGAUUGCCUACUGCUCCAAUAGAUUGCUUCCUGCAGAGCUAUUGCUGGAUCCUUUUCUCUGAGAUGAGGUGAAUGAAAGUAUAGGUCAUAUAAGAAAUCCAAAUCCCAGUCAUUUAGGUGAAAAAUCAAAAUGAAACUUCUAAAUUCUUUAAUUUAAAUUCUUUAGAUAUAUAUGUUUAUUUCUCUUCCAUUCAGUUAAUGAAAGUAACAUUACGGUUUUUCUGGGUAUGGAUGAGGAUAUUUAAGGCUCAAAUAAAGGAUGCAGACUUGGAUAGGUUGAUUGCUUUAACAAGUUUAGGAGGCCUAGAGAGUGAAAGUGUGAGAGAUUAAGAGAAAUGGAGGAAAACAUUAUAGUUAAAGGAUUAACCAUAUCAAGAUGUAGACAGAGAAUACCAUAUCAAUUAUAUUGUUAAUUACUUAAUUGGAUUUUCUGUUAUUAUUUAGGAUCAAGAUGCAUAUUAACUGUUGCAAUCAUUAUUUGGGUGAUACGAUGCAUAUUAACUUUCGCAAUCCAUAUCUGGAGCAUAGGAUGGAUAUUUUUUUAUUUUGUGCUUUCUUUUAGUUUUGAUUCCUUUGAACUUCUCCCCUUUUGCAACUUUGUAGUUGCAGCUCAAGUAAAAGUUUGGUACUAACCUAAUAAAGCAGAUAUCAGAUUCCGUUAGCAACUUUGUAGUAGAAAGUAGUGGAGCAAUUUUUUUUGUGCCGUUACUUAGAUUUCGAUCUUGAUACUAUUGGUGAACAAGGUUGUACCUUAAAUUUUUCCCUGAUUUUCUAUUUGGAAUGUGAGCUGCAGAAAGUGCGAGUGAGAACUUUGACAUGUUGUUCGUCAUGUUUUGCUUGCUUGCAGAUGAUCGUCAGAGGACAUCAACUUUGUAGGCCACACGUAUAAGAACCUUUAAAAUUGUUAAUGAUUAUCAGGUACCUGGACUUGCUCAUCGUUCGUGCUAUCAAAAAAAAAAAUUAAGCGUGAAAAGAACAAAAGCGUGGCAUAUAGGUUCGCAUUGCUGCCUAAUUUUCGUAAGUAUGGAAGUUUACUGUCUGCAAAUUUCAGAGGGAGUAUGGGAAAUCUGGUGGAGGGUUCUCAUAAUGGUGGAGCGCAUGGCAUUCUGACUUGAGAUGUAGGUUCGAUUCCCAUAGAUGGAAAUCGACAUGAAAGGAUAAUCAGCUGCAUCAUUUUUACAAUAUUAGGUUUGCCCUUCCAAUACGUUUGCAUGGUAAAGCAUGUAGGAGAACUAAUUCAUUUAGCACAACUGUAAUGCUAACAGGCAGCCCAAGACUGUCUAUGGGUAUACACCUGUAGGAGUAUAUCAUAUUAAUUUUUAACAAAGGUGCGGCUAUUAGUUUGUACACUAUUAACUACCAAUUCUUUCCUUUCUAGUCUUCAUAAUCAAAUAGCCAAUGGUUAUAAAUUUCACUGUUUCAAUGCAGUUGCUGGCUAUUAGAUGAACUGAAGACGGAUAUGGAUUCUUAAACUUUUUAUGGUUGCUUCAGUGAAAAACAUGAAUUAAAAUUCCUUUUAGAAUGACAUUAUUUCAUCUAAAAGUAAGUUGGAUAACCAUGAUGUUAAUACAUAUAUUUUGUUUUCACUUUAAUCUAAGGCAUUCGAAGUUUAAUCCAAUGAAGUUUGAUCAUUGUUAUUUUGGUUUGUUUGUGUUGGGCACCAUAUCUGUUUUUUGUCCAUCUGUUGCAGGUGUGUCAAGACACUUCGGAAUGUUUCCUCAGGUAGUCUUCUUCCGUGUACAUUGUGAGCUAAAUUUUCUUAUCCCAUAUCAGGAAUUGAAAGAGCAAUUUUUUCUUACCAAAUAUCAGGAGUCUAAAGAGCAAAAACUGUGCAGAAAUAUAAAUAACACCUGCUACUGCCACUAACCCUAACUACUCAGGUGUCCGCGGACAUUAAAGUUAGCAGUAGUUGCCAAAGAAAGUUGAUUCAGCAGCCGCAACGUGUUAGGACAAGGAUGCGAGAUGUUUACCAGGAUGUUCUGUGGAAAGUGACGCACCCAUCUUAGUUCAAUGAUGCAUUCGGGAGGUUCAGGAAAUGAACUUGGCAUAAAUGUUUUUGUUAGAACUUAUCAAAUCAAAGAACUCAUUUUAGGGAUGCUUGCAGUAAGACAUCCAGUUUAGGCACAUGGUUUUGAAGGACAUGGUGGGGAAACAUAUUGCUCCAAAGGACAAAUCAAUAUGUUUUGAGAUUUAAUAUUAUGCCAAUUCCUACUGAGGCAGCUCAUUUUGGUGUUUUAAAAUUUUCGAAAAUAAAUUCCAAUGAUGAUAAGUGUUGGCAGGGCCAUUUCAA